rnacentral:lncRNA from 1 species
AUGCCCGGUCAGCGACAGUGUUUCAGAGAUGCCCGGUCAGCGACAGUGUUUCAGAGAUGCCCGGUCCGCGACAGUGUUUCAGAGAUGCUCGGUCAGCGACAGUGUUUCAGAGAUGCUCGGUCAGCGACAGUGUUUCAGAGAUGCCCGGUCAGCGACAGUGUUUUCAGAGAUGCCCGGUCAGCGACAGUGUUUCAGAGAUGCUCGGUCAGCGACAGUGUUUUCAGAGAUGCUCGGUCAGCGACAGUGUUUCAGAGAUGCCCGGUCAGCGACAGUGUUUCAGAGAUGCUCGGUCAGCGACAGUGUUUCAGAGAUGCUCGGUCAGCGACAGUGUUUCAGAGAUGCCCGGUCAGCGACAGUGUUUUCAGAGAUGCUCGGUCAGCGACAGUGUUUCAGAGAUGCUCGGUCAGCGACAGUGUUUCAGAGAUGCCCGGUCAGCGACAGUGUUUCAGAGAUGCUCGGUCAGCGACAGUGUUUCAGAGAUGCUCGGUCAGCGACAGUGUUUCAGAGAUGCCCGGUCAGCGACAGUGUUUCAGAGAUGCCCGGUCAGCGACAGUGUUUCAGAGAUGCUCGGUCAGCGACAGUGUUUUCAGAGAUGCUCGGUCAGCGACAGUGUUUCAGAGAUGCCCGGUCAGCGACAGUGUUUCAGAGAUGCCCGGUCAGCGACAGUGUUUCAGAGAUGCUCGGUCAGCGACAGUGUUUCAGAGAUGCCCGGUCAGCGACAGUGUUUUCAGAGAUGCUCGGUCAGCGACAGUGUUUCAGAGAUGCUCGGUCAGCGACAGUGUUUCAGAGAUGCCCGGUCAGCGACAGUGUUUCAGAGAUGCCCGGUCAGCGACAGUGUUUCAGAGAUGCCCGGUCAGCGACAGUGUUUCAGAGAUGCUCGGUCAGCGACAGUGUUUCAGAGAUGCUCGGUCAGCGACAGUGCUUUCAGAGAUGCUCGGUCAGCGACAGUGUUUUCAGAGAUGCUCGGUCAGCGACAGUGUUUUCAGAGAUGAUGCUCGGUCAGCGACAGUGUUUUCAGAGGUGCUCGGUCAGCGACAGUGUUUCAGAGAUGCUCGGUCAGCGACAGUGUUUCAGAGAUGCUCGGUCAGGGACAGUGUUUCAGAGGUGCUGUGGCAUUCAAACGUUGUUCAACUGGUAUCAAGGGUCAAUAGCGAAAAACGAGUUUUAAUGACUCCAACCUAUCCAGAACAGCCUGAAUUAUUCGGGGCAUGA